AACGAACGCUGGCGGCGCGCCUAAUACAUGCAAGUCGAGCGAGAAGGUGUAGCAAUACACUUGUAAAGCGGCGAACGGGUGAGGAAUACAUGGGUAAUCUACCAUCGAGUGGGGAAUAACCAACCGAAAGGUUGGCUAAUACCGCGUACGCCUCCGAGUCUUCGGGUUCGGAGGGAAAGCUGCACUGUGAGUGUAGCGCUCUUUGAUGAGCUCAUGUCCUAUCAGCUUGUUGGUAGGGUAACGGCCUACCAAGGCUUUGACGGGUAGCUGGUCUGAGAGGACGAUCAGCCACACUGGCACUGCGACACGGGCCAGACUCCUACGGGAGGCAGCAGUAAGGAAUAUUGCGCAAUGGGCGAAAGCCUGACGCAGCGACGCCGCGUGGGGGAUGAAGGUCUUCGGAUUGUAAACCCCUUUCGGGAGGGAAGAUGGAGCGAGCAAUCGUUCGGACGGUACCUCCAGAAGCAGCCAUGGCCAACUUCGUGCCAGC
rnacentral:rRNA from 1 species